UUUUUCGCCCCGCCCUUCAAAUGCGAAAGCGACUGCCUUCUUGGUCCAAGCACAAAUGUGGAUCACUGAACACAGUACUGGAAGCGCCAUUUGCAGGGAAUCUACAAACCAGUAUCACAUUUAGGAGUCAAAGUGUUAAUUCUUCAGCAUUCCUGACAACUAGAAAGCACAUUCACUGAAGGCUGAAGGAGCCUCACACUGUUGGAAGAUGUACUGCUGCUGGUUAAGGUC
rnacentral:lncRNA from 1 species